rnacentral:misc_RNA from 1 species
CGCACAUUGCGCCCGCUGGAAUUCCAGCGGGCAUGCCUGUUCGAGCGUCAUUUCACCCCUCAAGCCUUGCUUGGUGUUGGAGCACUACCGUUUGUAUAAAGCGGUAGGCUCUGAAAUUCAGUGGCGGGCUCGCUAAGACUCUGAGCGUAGUAGUUUAUCACCUCGCUUUGGAAGGAUUAGCGGUGCUCUUGCCGUAAAACCCCCCAAUUUCUGAAUUUUGACCUCGGAUCAGGUAGGAAUACCCGCUGAACUUAA